rnacentral:rRNA from 1 species
UACGAAGGGGGCUAGCGUUGCUCGGAAUCACUGGGCGUAAAGCGCACGUAGGCGGCUUUUUAAGUCAGGGGUGAAAUCCUGGAGCUCAACUCCAGAACUGCCUUUGAUACUGAGAGGCUCGAGUCCGGGAGAGGUGAGUGGAACUGCGAGUGUAGAGGUGAAAUUCGUAGAUAUUAGGAAGAACACCAGUGGCGAAGGCGGCUCACUGGCCCGGUACUGACGCUGAGGCGCGAAAGCGUGGGGAGCAAACAGG